GCCAACUUAAAAUAAGCACCACGCACCACAAAACUGCCAUUUCUGUUAUGACUAGCAGUCGAAGAGCAACCAGCAUUGCUGAACCACCAAAUCCUAAUAAGGCUCAUGGCAAUAAUACCCCAUAAUAGCACAAACUAAAAUAAGUUAUGAUGGGAUUAGUCCAAAAUAGAAGUUCUCUCAAGGAUCACAGCCACAAGACGAGCAUGUUAUAUUCCGGAUUCUUGAAAGCAUGUUAUUGGUUUCCAAUGACAAUCCCAUAAUUUACACAUUGUUCUGUCUAUAAAUAAAAACAGAAACACAUUUUACCACAACUUAAACAAGGUAAAUUAAAAAGUGAGAUGGAAACUGAUAAAUUAAUAAAGCCAAAUUCAAAAUGGAAAUAUUUCAGCUAACUUAAAAAGGCGUAAUGCUGUGUGAUUUUCAUGUUCCCAUAGAAGCAAAACCUUGUUCACCCACGCAAGAGGCAAUGGCAGUAUAUUCUUGCCUUCUCAGAGGCAGAAUUGAGGCACAAUGUUGAAGUAUGAUAUGAAUGGAAGACCUUGAUGCAGUUCUAACUGCUGUAAUCAAAGGCAGAAAGACUGCACCUUUUUCUGUGCCAUAUGCACUAAUUACAUACCUACAAGACAAAUACUGCAUAAUAGCAGACAAAUACUAUUCAAUCAGUCAGUUAUUCACUAAUGAGCUCCUCACAACUAUUAAUGAUUCAAUCAUAUAGUUGAGAACAAGAAAAAAUGACGCUGCAAUGGAACUCAGGCCACUUCAAGAAAGAAAUUUGAAAGAGAAGGAGAAUAUGACCCUCAUCCUGCUGAGAUUAUGACCCUCAUCAUAUAAAAGGCUAUGCUUUUAAACAAAAAUUGCAACAGAAAGAUGUGUAUCUAAUUAAUCCAUCAGGGAAUAAAUAAAAAUAAUAAGAAACAAACUCACUCUAAGCAAAUCUGCGGUUUGCACCCAAAUUAAUUUCAACUCUUGACUCAUCAUGUUCGGAGCUCCCCUCCUUUGAAUCAUCAUUUUUCAGACUUCCAUCUAAGCCUGCAGCAAAUUCUACAGCCUCUGAAAUCUCCACCUUCAGCUCUUCAUGCUUCUCCUUUAACUCUGACGAAUUAAUAGCUGCUGAGAGCCUUUGCUUUAUUUGUUGUUCUAAAGCCUCAAUUUUAUUUUUUGUUGCCACAUCAGGUUUCUUUCCUGCCUUUGCUACCUCCAGCUUCAGCAACUCAAUCAUGUUUUUAAGAUCUGAUGAGUUGAUUAGAUCUUCAAUUUUCUUGUUAGUUUGUUCCUUCAAACUUUCCACUCUAGCUCUGAAGUCUAGGAAAGGUGUCUGCUGACUGACUUCUUUCGCUUUUGAGCUGACAAUCUCAACAUCCAAACCCAUGGACUCAAGAAAAUUUGUCAAUUCCAGCUCUAUCUCUUUCCUCAUCUUCACGAUGCUCUCCUUUGUCUCUCCAUCUAAUUCGCCUUCAUUGGAAGCUCCUGACAUUUGAAGUUCAGCCUUUAAUGCUUCUAUCUUCGCCCGAAUAUCAGGCCGAUCCAUGACCUCUUUAAGUUUCUUAUUAAUUUCCUCCUUCAAUUUCACACCUUUGCUGUUCUUUUCUGAGAUGCUCUUGGCUUUAGAAAACUCCUUCAACAUAUCAAGUUUAUAAUUAAGACUUGAAUAAUUAGGCGCUGCUGACAGGUUCUGAGUAAAUUCAUUCUUGAGUUUUUCAAUCUUAUCCAUUAAAAUUGGGUUCAUUAGUUGGUCCUGCAAAUUUGCUUUUAAAAACUCUUGCCGCAAGGUUUCAAACCUGUCCUUGUAGCCCAUGGAUUUAACAGCUUCAGAAAAUUCAAGAUCAAUCUCCCUUUUCAGCUUUUCAAUCAUCCCAUUCAAAGCCAACUCUGUAGGCUUGCUAGAUGAUUCCCUGGCUUUUGAAAUUUGCUGUUUCAGCUUUUCAACCUCACCCUCCAACUCUAGCACUGGAGUCUUUCCAGCAACAAUUUCUUCUUUCUUUUUCAUGUUGGUUUUUCUUUUAGGAUCGAUUGGGAUUCCCUCUUGAAACCCACCUAUUUUUCGGAACUUAAGCAUACGAUGUUUUAGUAGCUCUUGUGUGUCCAUCUUUUGGAGCUCGUCCAUAGCUUCAUUAAUUGCAUUCUUUAUCUGUUGUGAUGUCCAUGAAGGAUCUGCAUGUGCACCACCAAGUGGUUCCUGUUAAAAUUGAACAAAAAUUCUUUCAGAUGCCAAAGAAACUAUCUUAAAGAUCUGAAAGUUAAACUAAAUUGAAGUAGCAGGUGGGAAAAAGACAAUUCAGUAACUGAAUUUGAAUUAGGAUUUAAUCUUCACAAGAUAUGCCCAGAAACCCGAUUUACCUCUAGUUAUUGUCUGGAAAACACACAUUUUAUCAUGGCAUUCAAAAGAUUUAAAUUAGAAAAACAUAAUAAAUGUAAAUGUAAAGAAGAAAGAAGGGAAGAAAAGUGCAAAGUGCUGAAGAUAUGACACUAGAGGAGAUCAUUACAGGGAUGACACCAUCUGCAAUUUGCAACUUGCACAACUCAGUAGCAGUGAUCUUCAACUUUUCAGCAGCCUGCAUAGGAAAACAAAGUUCACUCUUCUGUAAUCAAUUAAGAGUCCUCAAAUUGACAACGCCAAAAGUGAGGAGGCUAUAUAAACCUUUGGCGAAGCUUUAGCAGUCUUCCAUAAAAUUGCAGCACAUGCUUCAGGACUAUAAGAUGGGGGGAAAAAAAGAGGGGGUAGGGUGGGGUGGAAGGGAAGAAGAAGGGGGGUGGGAAGGCAGGUCAGCAGGCAUUGUUGUAAGAAAAACAAAAUAUUCACGAACUAAACAAGCAUAAUAUGUGUGCAUGUGUCCUUAUAACUAAGGAAAAAGAUGAGGAACAGGUUAUUAAAUAGAGUGAGGUCAAACACAAAUUACCUGGCAACAUAGAAAACUGCAUUUUCAAGCAUCAACAAUUUAUUAGCACAGCCAAUGGCCAGAGCACCACCAGAGCCACCUUCCCCAAUAACAAUAGAAACAAUUGGUACCUUUAGACCAAACAUUGUCCUCAAAUUAUGGGCAAUAGCUUCACCCUGGCCCAGUUCUUCAGAUUUAAGGUCUGCAAAUGCCCCAGGUGUAUCAAUAAAAGUAACUAUAGGAAACCCAUGGUGGUCUGCAUAAUACAUCAUGCGUAGGGCCUUUCGGUAGCCAUGGGGAGUAGGCAUCCCGAAAUUGCGCAUAAUAUUCUCUUUUGUGUUUCUACCUUUCUGUUGACCAAUGAACAUGUAUCUUCUACCAUCUAUGGUUCCUACACCAGUAACAAUAGCUGGAUCAUCAUAACCUGCACGGUCUCCAUGAAGUUCCACCCACUUCUCGGUGAUAUUGAAUAUAUGAUCAAGAACUGUAGGUCUGUUGGGAUGUCUAGCAAUAGUUAAGCGUUGAAUGGGUGUCAAAUGUGUGUACAAGUCUUUCAGAGCCUGAAAAGGGAGUCAAAAUGACAAUUACUCCUUUCCAUCUCACACAAUUAUUUUAAUUCCAGUUCCAGAUGCAAAAUAAUAAAAUCUUAGAAUUAAUGCAACCAUAAAAUGUUUAAGAGCAGUAACCACAAGAUCAUUGAUUCCAAGAAGACUCUAUCUGUGCCAUUGUUUCCCUUCUGAGAUGGGAAUAAGUGCACAUAUUAAUAAAAGAAGAGAAAUUACUUCUAAAUUUUACCUGCUGGUACUUGGUUUCUAAAGCCCCAAUCUGAUCACUAAAAUCUAGGCCAGUUUCAUCAGCCAUUCUACGCACCUGCAAGAAAGGUAUUAAACUAAAAGAAGAAAUAAAUGAUGGGGGCCUCGGGCUUCAAGCGAAAUGCUCUUUUUGCCAUAUCAGCGCCUCACAUGUUGAUAGGCAAGGCAAAAAAGACCAUCCAUCCACAAUAAAUCUCAAAUUCUGAGACUAGUUUUAAACUUGUUAGCAUAUAAAAAUGAGCAGCAACAUUAUUACACAUGCACUGCCAAAUACCCAUAAGACCAAACGAACUCACCUCAAUAAUUCUCUUCUCCAGAUCAAUCAAUGGCUUCUCAAAAGGAAGCGUGACUGGUUUUGGUUUCUCAGCUAGUGGUUUGAAGUUAGAGAGGUAAGUCAAGUGCCCACUGCUAAUAUUGGGAUCAAUAUCAUCAGGCCAAGGAUAAUCAUGCUUCUUCCACUUCUUAACUUUAGCAAUGACACGAAAUCCACUUCCGAUUCCCGUUCUGUAAGUAUUUACCCUUCUAAGAAAACCGCUAGCGAAAAUUUCCUUACUGUAAUACGCAUUCGAACCAAAUUCGAAUGGGAACCCAUCCUCACCUCCUUUGCCUCUUCCACAGUUUCCAGCUACUAGCGAUAAGGUAGCCAUCUCAACAAUUUUCCACUCGAAAUCUACAAAUUCAAUUACUGAAUUCCCUUAUCCAUCUAGAUCUUUCUCGUUCCUGCUUUCUACUCUCGGGUAGCAAAUUGAAAUUACCCCAAGAAAAUUUCCAGCAGAGGUCUCUCUACGCCUUGGCUGGCUAGUUGGCUUAAAAAAAGGCGCUGCGCUUCGAUUGGAUGGGACUCCUAGCAAGCUGGGGA
rnacentral:misc_RNA from 1 species